UCAAGUCGAGGGGUAACAUUUCAGCUUGCUGAAGAUGACCCCCGGCGCACGGGUGAGUAACGCGUAUGCAACCUACCUUGUACAGGGGGAUAGCCCGGAGAAAUCCGGAUUAAUACCGCAUAAUAUGAUUGAUUCGUAUGGAUUGAUUAGUAGACGUUGGGGGGUACAAGAUGGGCAUGCGUAGCAUUAGUUAGAUGGUAAGGUAACGGCUUACCAAGACUAUGAUGCGUAGGGGGUCUGAGAGGAUAGUC
rnacentral:rRNA from 1 species